ACGGGUGAGUAAUAUAUCGGAACGUGCCCGAUCGUGGGGGAUAACGUAGAGAAAUUUACGCUAAUACCGCAUACGAUCUAAGGAUGAAAGCGGGGGAUCGCAAGACCUCGCGCGAUUGGAGCGGCUGAUAUCAGAUUAGGUUGUUGGUGAGGUAAAAGCUCACCAAGCCGACGAUCUGUAGCUGGUUUGAGAGAACGACCAGCCACACUGGGACUGAGACACGGCCCAGACUCCUACGGAAGGCAGCAGUGGGGAAUUUUGGACAAUGGGCGAAAGCCUGAUCCAGCAAUGCCGCGUGCAGGAAGAAGGCCUUCGGGUUGUAAACUGCUUUUGUACGGAACGAAACGGCUCUUUCUAAUAAAGAGGGCUAAUGACGGUACCGUAAGAAUAAGCACCGGCUAACUACGUGCCAGCAGCCGCGGUAAUACGUAGGGUGCGAGCGUUAAUCGGAAUUACUGGGCGUAAAGCGUGCGCAGGCGGUUAUAUAAGACAGUUGUGAAAUCCCCGGGCUCAACCUGGGAAUUGCAUCUGUGACUGUAUAGCUAGAGUACGGUAGAGGGGGAUGGAAUUCCGCGUGUAGCAGUGAAAUG
rnacentral:rRNA from 1 species